GGAUGCUCAUCUUGACGUUUUAUUUAACUCAAAAAUACGAACACCAAAAUAACAAACAACAAACUCACGAUCAACACAACAGUCUUGUAAGGCUUACUCACGCUAAACAAGAAACAGGCAAAACAAGAAACAAUCUCCCACAAAAUACAAACCAAAACACACCCUAAUAUAUAGGACUCUCAAUCAAAGGCAAAGAGACAACACCUGCCUUCAAUUGAGAGUCCCAACCCCAAUUAACUAAACAUAGAAACAGAUUUACUAGACAAAACAUAGAAAUACAUGAAUAUGACACAGUGCCCAAAAAACCACGGAAUACAUAAAUCAAAUGCCCUUCUACAAAAACCACCACCCCGAACCACAUAAAACAAAUACCCUCUGCCACGUCCUGACCAAACUACAAUAACAAUUAACCCUUAUACUGGUCAGGACGUGACACCCCUCACUGUAUUGUAGAUAUGUGGUCUGAGGUAACACACUAAAUGUAUUGUAGAUAUGUGGUAGUAGAGUAGUGGUCUGAGGUAACACACUAAAUGUAUUGUAGAUAUGUGGUAGUAGAGUAGUGGUCUGAGGUAACACACUAAAUGUAUUGUAGAUAUGUGGUAGUAGAGUAGUGGUCUGAGGUAACACACUAAAUGUAUUGUAGAUAUGUGGUAGUAGUGGUCUGAGGUAACACACUAAAUGUAUUGUAGAUAUGUGGUAGUAGAGUAGUGGUCUGAGGUAACACACUAAAUGUAUUGUAGAUAUGUGGUAGUAGAGUAGUGGUCUGAGGUAACACACUAAAUGUAUUGUAGAUAUGUGGUAGUAGAGUAGUGGUCUGAGGUAACACACUAAAUGUAUUGUAGAUAUGUGGUAGUAGAGUAGUGGUCUGAGGUAACACACUAAAUGUAUUGUAGAUAUGUGGUAGUAGAGUAGUGGUCUGAGGUAACACACUAAAUGUAUUGUAGAUAUG
rnacentral:lncRNA from 1 species